rnacentral:rRNA from 1 species
GACGAACGCUGGCGGCGUGCUUAACACUUGCAAGUCGAGCGGAAAGGCCCUUCGGGGUACUCGAGCGGCGAACGGGUGAGUAACACGUGAGUAACCUGCCCCAGACUUUGGGAUAACCCUCGGAAACGGGGGCUAAUACCGGAUACGACACAGCUUCGCAUGGGGUCUGUGUGGAAAGUUUUUCGGUUUGGGAUGGGCUCGCGGCCUAUCAGCUUGUUGGUGGGGUGAUGGCCUACCAAGGCGACGACGGGUAGCCGGCCUGAGAGGGCGACCGGCCACACUGGGACUGAGACACGGCCCAGACUCCUACGGGAGGCAGCAGUGGGGAAUAUUGCACAAUGGGCGGAAGCCUGAUGCAGCGACGCCGCGUGAGGGAUGACGGCCUUCGGGUUGUAAACCUCUUUCAGCAGGGACGAAGCGUAAGUGACGGUACCUGCAGAAGAAGCGCCGGCCAACUACGUG